AUGCUAUCAGUAGCCAGCAGGGAGAUCUCAUAUAGCCCCUGCAGGAUGCAUUCUCUGGGCUCCAGCUCUGGGCUGUCCCCUUGUUCCACAUGGAGGCAAUCCUUUUGGUCCGCAUCCUCAAGGUACAGCCGCAGUCUCAGCAUGUCCUGCUCAGCCUUGGAUACCAGUCUGGACCUGCCUGAGAGGUCGAGGCACAAGUGCUCUAAAAUGCUGGAAACUUCCUCAGUGAAAAGCGGUGGCUGCCCUUUCAUUUACCCUCGUGGGCCUUCGAAGCCCUUCUACAAAGCUGUCACCAGAAGACAAGUCAGUCGUGGCCCAUAUUACCAAUAUAUAAGUAGCCUGGAAGAGACUCCAGGGGACCUGCAUAUUCAUCAUCACCAUCCCAGCUUUUCCUCCUGGAUUACUGCCUGA
rnacentral:lncRNA from 1 species